rnacentral:rRNA from 1 species
CGUGUAGGCGGGUCGGAACGUCGGUCGCUGAAAUCCCCCGGCUCAACCGGGGAAGGGCGCCGAUACGGCCGACCUGGAGGGACGUAGGGGGGGCUGGAACUUCCGGUGGAGCGGUGAAAUGCGUUGAGAUCGGAAGGAACGCCCGUGGCGAAAGCGAGCCCCUGGACGUCUACUGACGCUGAGACGCGAAAGCCAGGGGAGCGAACG